rnacentral:rRNA from 1 species
CUCGGGAGCUUACCAUGCAGUCGACGGUCUCUUCGGAGAUAGUGGCGGACGGGUGAGUAACGCGUGAGAAUCUAGCUUCAGGUCGGGGACAACCACUGGAAACGGUGGCUAAUACCGGAUGUGCCGAAAGGUGAAAGAUUUAUUGCCUGAAGAUGAGCUCGCGUCUGAUUAGCUAGUUGGUGUGGUAAGAGCGCACCAAGGCGACGAUCAGUAGCUGGUCUGAGAGGAUGAUCAGCCACACUGGGACUGAGACACGGCCCAGACUCCUACGGGAGGCAGCAGUGGGGAAUUUUCCGCAAUGGGCGAAAGCCUGACGGAGCAAUACCGCGUGAGGGAGGAAGGCUCUUGGGUUGUAAACCUCUUUUCUCAGGGAAUAAAAAAAUGAAGGUACCUGAGGAAUAAGCAUCGGCUAACUCCGUGCCAGCAGCCGCGGUAAUACGGAGGAUGCAAGCGUUAUCCGGAAUGAUUGGGCGUAAAGCGUCCGCAGGUGGCACUGUAAGUCUGCUGUUAAAGAGCAAGGCUCAACCUUGUAAAGGCAGUGGAAACUACAGAGCUAGAGUACGUUCGGGGCAGAGGGAAUUCCUGGUGUAGCGGUGAAAUGCGUAGAAAUA